UUAAUGUAGGUAACAAGAGGAGCUGCUUCCACGGUUCCAGGAGGAUUUGUACUCGAAAAUUCCAAGCUUGGUGCUGUAAACUUGAAAUCUUUUGGUUCCAGACUAUCUGCCAUACGUUAUAAAAUAAUAACACAAAGUUAUGUAUAAUUAGGCAAAUAUAACAAACUUUCAUCACUCAAGGUUAUCUGUUAUAUCAUACGACGUCUUUGACUAAUAGCUUAUGAAUU
rnacentral:lncRNA from 1 species